rnacentral:lncRNA from 1 species
GACGGGAAUGGUCGUGUAGCCUAGCCUAGGCAGCCUUGAAACCAAGGUUUGGGCCCAUGCCCGGGACAGAGCUGAACUGAGGUCAGAAGGGAGGUGACCACAGCCAGAGCAGACCUGAUAGUAAGUAACUCAGAGCAACGGUAACCUUGAGCACCAAGGCUGGACUGGAAGGGCUCCAUCUGUAUGGACACGACCUGGCCCUCGGAAUCACAGGUAGACCGUGGGAAGCGCCCCCACUGACAUGCCCGGAGUCUGUCAGGAAACAGAGGGUAACAGUGUGCUCUCAUAGCUGUGUGUUCCUGUCACCACAUCUGACCCCACUGAGCAGCAGCACCUGUGUGACUGACAGGAUGAGCAUCUGAUGGAGGAUGAGCCUGAGUUCUGCUUUGAACUGUGGGUGUUUUUCUUGUUCUUUGAAUCAGCAGCCGCAUCCAGCUUCAUAUUUCUACUUUUUAAAGUAACUUAAUAAAGACCUUGGCAUUUGUGUUCCCAGCUUCAAGUUCACAGAAGUGUUUGAGGUCAUUGUUUGUUCCCUCAGUAGAAAAAUAAACCCU